CCUGUCACGCGGGAGACCGGGGUUCGUUUCC
rnacentral:piRNA from 1 species